GAUGGAGAACGUAGCGAAAUGCGAUAAGUAAUGUGAAUUGCAGAAUUCAGUGAAUCAUCGAAUCUUUGAACGCACAUUGCGCCCGCCAGUAUUCUGGCGGGCAUGCCUGUUCGAGCGUCAUUUCAACCAUCAAGCCCCCGGCUUGUGUUGGGGACCUGCGGCUGCCGCAGGCCCUGAAAAGCAGUGGCGGGCUCGCUGUCACACCGAGCGUAGUAGAUUUCAUCUCGCUCAGGGCGUGCUGCGGGUUCCGGCCGUUAAACCACCUUCAUAACCCAAGGUUGACCUCGGAUCAGGUAGGAAGACCCGCUGAACUUAAGCAUAUCAAUAAGCGGAGGA
rnacentral:misc_RNA from 1 species